rnacentral:rRNA from 1 species
AACCGGAUUAGAUACCCUGGUAGUCCACGCCGUAAACGUUGGGAACUAGAUGUGGGGACCAUUCCACGGUCUCCGUGUCGCAGCUAACGCAUUAAGUUCCCCGCCUGGGGAGUACGGCCGCAAGGCUAAAACUCAAAGGAAUUGACGGGGGCCCGCACAAGCGGCGGAGCAUGCGGAUUAAUUCGAUGCAACGCGAAGAACCUUACCAAGGCUUGACAUAUACCGGAAACGUCUGGAAACAGUCGCCCCGCAAGGUCGGUAUACAGGUGGUGCAUGGUUGUCGUCAGCUCGUGUCGUGAGAUGUUGGGUUAAGUCCCGCAACGAGCGCAACCCUCGUUCUAUGUUGCCAGCACGUAAUGGUGGGAACUCAUGGAAGACUGCCGGGGUCAACUCGGAGGAAGGUGGGGAUGACGUCAAAUCAUCAUGCCCCUUAUGUCUUGGGCUUCACGCAUGCUACAAUGGCCGGUACAAAGGGCUGCAAUACCGUAAGGUGGAGCGAAUCCCAAAAAGCCGGUCUCAGUUCGGAUUGAGGUCUGCAACUCGACCUCAUGAAGUCGGAGUCGCUAGUAAUCGCAGAUCAGCAACGCUGCGGUGAAUACGUUCCCGGGCCUUGUACACACCGCCCGUC